CUCAUCUAUCCGAGGACAAUUUAUAUGAUUCAGAUAGAUCAUGUCGUCGGAUUUUUUUCCCUAGCUUCGCGAUAUGUCUUUUCCUCGCUUCUCACUAUCCAGAGCCGAGCUCUAAGUCUUCAUCAUUCCGAGGUUGCUUAUGACUCCUAUAGUUCAAGCCGAGCCACCAGCUUGAUAUUUAUUCCUCGUUCUGCGAGAUGUUUCAACAUAUGAAAUGUUGCACUACGACUGUACUUAUCUUCAGAGAGCUUGUUACGCCUCUGCUUAGCCACAACAUGGUUCUGUUAAGAGAGAGGACUUAUAUUAUCUCUUGCAGGGUUGAGCUAUCUACCAUGCAAGGACGUCAGGUGCCACGACGUUGGGAAGACCCACCUCAUUAUAAACAAAAAUGGAACCUUUCAUGGAUGGAUCAAAUACCGUGGAAGAUGCCUUUGCACAGAAGAGUAAACCCCUUGCAAAGAGGUCAAAAAUCAAAUCAUAUAUAUGAUAUAUGAUGAGCCAAAGAGCUCUAGAGAGUAUGAGAAGCCACAACUUCAUAAAAUAUAAAAAGUCGAAGAGCUUCAGGAAAAGUGACGAGCCAAAGAGCUCCAAAAUGGCAUAUCAGGGCAAAGAGCUUCGAAAAAAUAGGGACAUCGGUUCCCUUCCUUGAAAAUUCAGCAAAAUAUUAAAGAUAAAUAGCUUCGACACAUAAUUUCAGCUCCUUCAUCAACACUUCUAAGCCAAAGACUCAGAUUACUUCGGGGCUUCAGAUAACACCCACUAAAGUGCUUGUGCCUAUUUUUAUUAAGUUAUUUCCUUUUAAAUCCCCAUUAUGUGAAUAUCUAUGCCUAAAUUUGGGGGACAAUUGUGAUUACUGUUAGCAUGCAUAUCACAUUAUUGCUAGCAUGCUUCAAGACCCAUGGCAUCAUUUUUACCAGCGCUAGUAUGCAUGACACGUUACAUACACCAUCAUCAAGCAUAUGAUCUACUAUGAUAUAUGAUAGUUUUCUUGCAUAUUAUAUCUUGAAAAAAUGUGAUAUGUCAUUUAUGAGUAUUUGGAGGGGCAAAAUGGAGCUGUGCUAAUUUGACAUAUGUGUAGUAAAUAUAUUGUUUUGUGCUGUAGCAUUGGUUUAAUCCACAUUACAAAGGAGAUGCUGCCGAAAUUUUGACAGAAUGUAUGACAUUUCCCGAAGCAUAUUAGUGAAGAAGAAAGUAGGCCAAGAGAGGCACUUCAACAAAAAGAGCUGGAACUCGAAGAGGUCCACCUCAGAAUAGCCCAAGAGGCACUUCUAUGAAAGUAGACCAAGGGAGGCACUUCAACAAAAAGAGUUGGACCCCGAAGAGGACCACUCGAAAAUAAAAGCGAACAGAAUGUAUCACAAAGGUAGGAACAAAGAAAAUUUGACCCGCAUAUGAAUGAUACAACUCAGGCUUGGGGGGACUAUAUGUUAUAUCCUUAAAUCACUUCACAUUGGGCCUUAUUAUUGGACUCGGACAAGGCCCAUUAGAGUUGGACAGCAUAGGCCCAAGAGGCAGCCAAGUAAAAGCCUAAGCUGAGACUCUCAAGGGGUCAUCUGAGGUGCCUUAAAGGGCUAGCCGAGGCGCUCCCAAUGAGCUAGCCGCGGUGCCUUCCAAGAUGGUCGAAGUACCUGACGAGGUAGUCCACAGAGGUCCCAAGAGGUCCUCCAAGGCUCAGCCGAAGUGCAUCUAAACCUAACCUGAAGCUGUCUAAAGAUCAUCCGAAGUGGUCUAAUCAAGGCACAAGAAGAGGUCUAACCGAGGUGCUUUCAAAGGUGCUACCAAGAUCCCAAGAAGCCCAUCUGAAGCACUUGCUGAUGUACCUAUUGCUAUGCUAAUACAACCACCUCAUACUGAGCUUAAACUUAGGCCCAAUGAAGCACUUAGCCCAUUUCAUUUGCCUAUAUAUAUGAGAAUCCCUUUCAUUUCCAGGUAUGCCUAAACACUUUAACAACAUUUCCUCUCUUCCUACUAUUGCACUCUAUAUAUUUAUCUUCGUCCGACCGUUGACUUGACUGUCAAAGUGCAAACGGUUGCCGAACCUUUUUCUAGGCCUACGGCCUUUGCUCCCUAACGAGGUGCCACGUGUGCAAGUAUGGAGAAGACGAGAUCGAGACGCCUGUUGGCCAUUUUCGAAGGGCAACAAUUUUGAUAAGGAUUAAAAAUAUCAUUUAUAAUUUUUUGAAAUUCUAAAGGAGUGUUUUUGAGACCAAAAUGCAUGACAUUCCAUUAGUAUUGACCAAAUGAAACAUUGAAAGCGGUUUUGUAUUUAUCUUUUUUUAUUUGAAUCUAGCAAAAACCAAAUUUCAUAUCGAAUUUUGAGAAAAUAACAGUUUUGAGUAAUCUAUUU
rnacentral:lncRNA from 1 species